GCUGAACCCCGUGCUGAACCAUGGGUCUUCUGGCCUCCCCUCCUGGAGGGGAAGCCUUAUUAUAGUUUGCACAACAGCAUUUUAUAAUUCAUACAAAAGCUAGCCUUUGCCCUCGUCGCCAUUCUGAUUACAUGCUGUGCCUCGGCAAAAAUGAAGAGUGAGGGGAAGCUGGAAAGAUGGGCAACAUCCAGGCCAUGUGGGGCUUUGGGAGCCAUAGUGAGGAGCUUGGGCUUUUUCCUAAGUGCUGUGGAGAGUUAAGAAAGGGUUUUCAGUAGAAGUGACAUAGUUGGAUAUAUGUCUUGGAAAGGCCUCUGGAUGCAGAGUGGAGAAAGCUCCAUUUUUCUAUUUCACAUUCACCCUCUGAAGGAAGUUCUUCUAUGGAUUUCUAGAUUGCACACCCAUUAUCUCCCAUCUCCUGCUUCCUGUGAUGUACACAUGGUUGGAUCAGUGACCUUCUCGCAGGGCCCAGGGCGACUGAGGUCCCCAGGGCCUGCCUCUGGAGCUAUUCCCAGCCCAUGUGCGGGCUGGGGCAUUGUAGGAACUGAA
rnacentral:lncRNA from 1 species